CUGCAUAUUUUAGUGAAAGAUAAUCAAAGAAAAUACUAUACGGCAAAAGCCAAGUGCUAUAAGCUUUUAACCCGGAGAAACAUGUAUUAUGAUGUGUAAUAAGAAAAGACGAGUUAUCGCCAUGGAACAAGGAACGUUUUUUCAGGAGGCAUGACUUACAUCCUACACAUUCAAUAGUACCUCUAAACCCCAGACCUCGAAGCAGACAUGUGCACAGCCCUGCAGAAGUGAAAACUCCUGUGUGCUGGCUUCUUCAUGAUCAGAUUUCAUUCAUUCUUGCCCAACCGGUGAAUCUCCCAAGAUCUCAAAAGUAGAAAUGAGACCUGGGCAGACAGAAGGGACUCUGGUUUAGCCACUCUGGCCUCAAACUAUUUGUUAAGAUUUGAAGGUCUCAACACGGCUCAGUGGGUCAUUAGGUGCCAUCUCAGGGAUAGCCCGGUUUCUAAACACCCUUAGAGCUUGAAACCCAAAUGAAACCCAGAUGAGCACCGUACUGGUGACAGAGCACAACGGUAUCAUAAACUUCUAUCAGCAAUCUAAAUUUUUGUAAGGAAAGAAAUUAUGACAUCAUUUGAUAUCAGUUUGUUUUGGUCAUACGCACAUACACACACAUCAAAUUAGAGUAGGUUUGGGUAUAUAAUGACAUAGUGCAUGCACAUGGUACAGAAUUCAAGAAGCGCUAGGGGUCAUAUGGUGAAAAGGUCCUCUGUCCCUCCCCUGUCCUCUAGGCACCCGUUCCCUUCCCCAGAGGCUAUCACUGUUAUCAAUGACUCUGUAUCCUUCCAGAGGUUUUCUAGGACACGUUUUUUUAACCACAGUAAAUCUGUUCUGUUUGUUAAGUUAGGCAUUAUUAAUUCAAUGUCUGCUUGCUCUUUUAUUAAUUAAUUCAAUAAAUAAUUAUUGGGUGGCUA